rnacentral:tRNA from 1 species
GCCGGGAUGGCGGAACUGGCAGACGCGUACGUUUGAGGGGCGUAUGGGUUUCCCGUGUGGGUUCGAGCCCCACUCCCGGCA